CAGCCCCUAAAGCAUUGUAUGUUGCAGGAGUUUUGCCUGGAUGGGGAUCCAUUGCCCAGAGGGCUUUUCCCCCUAGUAGAAGGGGUACUAUGACUGUAGCAGCCAACAGAGUGGAUUAAGGUCAAAUAAUUAUGAAGCAACGCUCUCUGCUACCACCUACUGGAUAAAUUGCAAGACUGACAUGGAUUUCCACAGGAAAAGGCUUAAGGCCCAACGUCCAGUACUACAGUCUAAUGAAAUAUAACUAACACAAAAAGGACAUGCGUCUGACGAACUGCUAGCAAGAUACAGGUGCCAUAAACAAAAAGUGCAGGAGCCCACAUUGCUGAAGAGGCAAGAAAGAGAAAAUACGUAUAUUUUGGGAUUGAUCCUCCACUUUUCAAGGAAAAUGCUGUUCAGAGUAACAAUUCUCAGACUUACUUCACAGU